rnacentral:rRNA from 1 species
CCUACGGGUGGCUGCAGUGGGGAAUAUUGGACAAUGGGGCAACCCUGAUCCAGCCAUGCCGCGUGUGUGAAGAAGGCCCUCGGGUUGUAAAGCACUUUCAGUGAGGAAGAACGCCUGGUGGUUAAUACCCAUCAGGAAAGACAUCACUCACAGAAGAAGCACCGGCUAACUCCGUGCCAGCAGCCGCGGUAAUACGGAGGGUGCGAGCGUUAAUCGGAAUUACUGGGCGUAAAGCGCGCGUAGGUGGCUUGAUAAGCCGGUUGUGAAAGCCCCGGGCUCAACCUGGGAACGGCAUCCGGAACUGUCAAGCUAGAGUGCAGGAGAGGAAGGUAGAAUUCCCGGUGUAGCGGUGAAAUGCGUAGAGAUCGGGAGGAAUACCAGUGGCGAAGGCGGCCUUCUGGACUGACACUGACACUGAGGUGCGAAAGCGUGGGUAGCAAACAGGAUUAGAUACCCGUGUAGUC